rnacentral:lncRNA from 1 species
ACCCUAGCUUAAUAGCUAAUUUUGUUCGCCUCUAGCUUCGUUCGAGCUCAAUUUCAUCGACCUUCAAUUCAAGGACUCACUCACUGCUAUCAAUUCUGCAUUCACUAAGGUCCCUUCCCUUGCUACAUGCGAAACUCCUAGAAGAGAUGAUAGGAAGCGGAAUAAAAGUAGUCUUUCUUCCCUUUGACUUCCGAGCUGGACGUGAGUUCAAUCCUUUCAGUUGAAUAAAGAAAGCGCGGAUUUGGGGCUUCAACUACAAAGACUAGCUAUACCUGCAAGACUUGAUAUAUUGUCAAUUACUAAGAUGUGCAUCUAUCAUUUAUUUGACUUACUCCAAUUUUUUUGAUCAGUUUUAGAAACUGAUUUAAAGAGAUACCAAAUUAUUUGGUGACUAUUUGGUCUUUUCUUUAUUUGGUUUAUGAAUUAAUUUUUAUGCUUAAAAAAUGAAUAUCAGAUUAAGAAUUACAGUUUAAAACUGAUUCAAAACUUAAUCUUAAAUCAGUAUGUAAACAGAAUCCAAUGGCUUUGGUAUGUUAUAAAUCUCACCAUAAUCUAAUAGAAAAAGUUUCCACCAAAUAAAAAAGAAGCGGAUGCUGAGAGGAAUAGAUGCAGAUGUUGUGAAGCAGAUGAUGAACACAAGUCCUAAAAUGCUUUACACCUCAUUCGAAACUCUCAGAAAAAUAAUACAGACAAUCUGUUUAUUUGUGUUUCACUUUCUCAAUUCUGUUUAAUCUGACUUUCUUAUUUCAUUUUCUAGUGCAUUUUUGUUGUAUAAAUGCAGUGCAAUUACCAUUAAACAUCUUCUUGUUGUUUGGCUCCAAGUUAAAAUUAUUAAAUACUACUAAUUAAGUUCAUUCUGUCCUAUGCGCCGAGGGUCGCAUGGAAGCAGCCUCUCUGCCCUUUUGGGUAGGGNNNNNNNNNNNNNNNNNNNNNNNNNNNNNNNNNNNNNNNNNNNNNNNNNNNNNNNNNNNNNNNNNNNNNNNNNNNNNNNNNNNNNNNNNNNNNNNNNNNNNNNNNNNNNNNNNNNNNNNNNNNNNNNNNNNNNNNNNNNNNNNNNNNNNNNNNCCCUUUUGGGUAGGGGUAAGACUGCCUACAUAUUACCCUCCCCAGACCCCACCUGGUGGGAGUAUACUGGGUAGUUGUUGUUGUUGUUGUUGUUACUAAUUAAGUAUCAAAGUUAGAGCCUCAUUCUCAUCGGUCUGGUGUCUCGUCAACACCAACAAAUACUUUCAAUCCUAAGGAAAGAGCGUAUGCUUCCUCAUCUCCAACGCUCCAAUAAACUGAUGAUUAAUGAUUAUUAGGUUAGAUAUGAAAAUAUAUUAACUCCUUUCAACAGGAAUCAACUACUGAGAAAACUAAAAGGGCGAAAAAUAUAGCAUAUCAUGUUCGUAGACAUGUGAAACACUUAUCCUGUUGUUUCUAUUUUAUCUUUGUCAUUAACCACAAUUCUCUUCUCUUGCUGUUCGGGCUUCAAAAAAAUUCCCAACAGAACAGAGAAGACAGUUUUUUAUGUGAAGGAAAAAAUAAUAGAAUAAUGUCUCAUCAUCAAUAUUUAUUGAGCCUUCUGUAUUUGUGUUUCAUAAUUUGUAAAAUUUUAAGUAUUAGAUGCAUCUAUUCAAGAGGAAAAUCAUUUACCUUACAGUUGAUACUCUAUCCAAGCAGUAUUAUAACUUCAGAAUCUCUAUACAAGGAUUCAGGAUAUAGAGAAAUCUCACUAAGAUUUAAAUGAUAAUAACUUAACUUUUAAAGCAUUGACGAUCAAAUUUUUGCAGAAUACUUUUCAGUUGUAGGUUAAAUCUCAAAAAAAUCUCAUAGCAUAACUGUCAAUUCCCAAUAGGGGAGCUUCAAUGAUUUCAUCAUAUACUAUAUUCUGUGUUUUAUGAUCAUCGUUGCUAUCAGCUAUUGGCGGUUGGAUCAGCAUUUUCACUGCACAUGAGUUUUUUGCUCGCGAUAAAGCAACAUAAAGCUGACCAUACGAAAAAAUAGGCUCUCAUAAAUAAAUUCCAACAAAAUCUAAUGUCACCUUUAUUAAUAGUCAUAGUGAAAAAUAAUCUACUCAAAAAUUGUGUUCUUUUGAAAGGAAUAGGUAGUUUUUCAUCUUGUGAAGACAAGAACAGUAUUCUUGGAAUAAAUACAUGCGUGUUUUCUGAAACACCACUUGCAAUUUUUACGCUUAUCACAUGCCCUCUCAAAAUUACAACAUAUAAGUCGUAUUCUAUUAUAUAAACCUUCUCAAGGGUUUAAAUUCUGUAGUAAAACAACUGAACAAUUUAUUUUCACGAUAAUUUAUGCGGAGGUAAGCCAGCUGAGUGUAAAGUAUGCAAAAAAUCUUCAUAUUAACUUUGAUCAAUCGUUUAAAUAGUUUCAUCAAACGCGACAUAUGUUCUAGAUUCACCAAAAACUUUUAUCAUUUAUUUCAUCAACAAAAUUAUUUUUUGUUGUUAAAAUAAUUUGUCGAAGACAUAUCACAAGUAGAUGUGUCAAAUUUGGAUAGGUAAUUCUAAAUAACAGAUUCAAUGAUUCUUUUUCUCUUAUAAAAGGAACAAUUAGGAAUUUCAAUCUUACAUUGAGAAUUGAAUUAGUUUUUCUUUAUCGCUCCCUAUUUGCAUCAAAUAGUCGCAGAAAGCAGGAUUUGUUCUUGCACAUGUUUAUUGAUAAUCGCAAUUUUCGAGUUGUUUCCAAAUUUCAGAACACAAUAAAUUUUCUCGUAAACUUUUCCACUAAAUAUUUUCUUCUUAUCCAUUAUAUCUUUUAGUAGUGAAUCAAAAGCCUCUAUUAGCUGUUAUUUGGCCAUAGAUACGUCAUUCCACACAAUUAGUUUGGCAUCUUGUAUCAAUAACGCACGUGAACUUUGUUUACUGAUAUUAAAUGAGAAAUGUUCAUCAAUAUCAAUAUAAAAUUUAAAACGGGAGCGAGCAGUUCAUCCUCCGGGGAGAAUUGAAGUUGUGACUCCAGAUGUUGAUGUUGCUAGAGCUACGAAUCCUUUAGAUCGUACAGUAGCCAAUAAUGCGUCGUACAAAAAUAUUUUACCAUUUCCUCUGGCACCAUCAAUAAAAAAAAGCUUCACACUUAUUCUUAAAAAUUCUAUCAAGAAUUAUAUCAUAUACUUUUAGCUGAUCAAAUCUUCUUCUCUAAUAAUUAUAUUUCUUUUAAAAUGAGAAUCUGGAGCCUCCCUAAGCAGUAGAAGAAGCUAAAUUUCUUUUUGGUGUGAGUGUAAAUUCAUUUAUGCCGCGACCCAUUAAAUGCAAAAUCUCGUUAAUAUGGUUUAAUGCCAUAUGACGAAUCUGUUUCGAGUUUAAAUUUGGAAAUCUUGAUGUCUUCGAACAUAGAAUCUUUAAAUUGAUUCCAAAGUUCUAUCCGGUUAGCAGGAUUACAAUAGAUAAGAUGGGUAGCAAAUAAACGCUUUAAACUAUAAGGCAUCUGAUAUCUUACAACUUCUAACAUACAAUCAACUAAGUUAUUAUUACAUUGUAAUAAGCUUCAUUUUAUGUUGCUUGUUUAAAUGUAUUGCAACAUACUCUAUUUACGGUUAGCAAAUAUUGGUAUGCUUUUGGUCCUCUAAUGUUCACUAAUAAUAAUCUGAGAUAGUAUCUUUCUCCUUCUAUUGAAUGGCAUGUGACUAUACAUCCAAUAACAUCACCUUGCUUUUGACGUGUCCACAUUUUAUAUUGUUUGGACUAUACAAAGUAUUUUGGAAAUUCCUUGUAGAGUAAAUUUAACUUUUUUGUAUCCUUAUUUUCUCUAUCCAUUACAAAGAAUUCUGUCAACAUGGUUUUUUUGAUAAUGGGGUUAUUCACAAUUGAAUUUAUAGUCUGUGUGCUAUUAAAAGAGACAAAUUAUUUUCCAUCAAGAUGUAGCUGAAGAUAGUAAACAUAUGGAGUUAUUUUGCUAAUGAGAAAACCAAAUAAACACCAAGUUGCCUUCGAUGGAGAAACCUAUCUAGCAUACUGCUAUUCGUUUAUCCCAUCUAUUUUAACAUUUGGAUCAUCAUCAUGGACGAAAAGACAAUUUUAUCAUGUCCCUUUAUAGAUAUAUUUAUAAAGGUAUUUAACAACUUUAAAAUCAUAACAAACGUUGACAUUGAUAUGGCUGUAAAAUUUGCUUAAUAGAUAUGGAUUUUAAGGAACGACUCAUGAAUUAUCAAGAAAUUGGCUUCUAAUAUUUUCAAAUUUACUGUUAUUUUGCUUUCUAUAAAUUGGAUAUCCAUUUUCCCCCAUAUAUGUAUGAUCAGCAAAUUCUUUUGGAUAUUUGAACUUACAAUAUUCUCUGUUCUUCAUACAAGGACAUUUAAAAUUUAAGCUACCACAAGGUACAUGCAUCAUAUGUUUAAUAACAAGUGAAUAUAGGUAGUCAUUCUUUUCAAAUUCAGGCAGUUUAGUACAAACAAAUUUAUCAUAAACAUUCGAACUUAACAAUUUACAUUCGUUAUUGAAUAUGAUAAGAAAAUGAGCAUGUGAAAUACCGUGCUUUUGAAAUUCAACAGUGUACACAAAAGCACCAACUUUUUCAAAUAUAUUUCUCUUCAAUAUAUCUGUUUUCAUCUCCUCUACCUUAGCUUUAAACACUUGAGUAAUUAAAUCAGGUCUAUUUUGUACCUCAUCUGCUACCAAUAAAUGUUCUUUUAUUUCUGGCCAUGCUGAAUUACACUUCAUUGUUAAAAUAUAUCAGGUUCUCCAAAAAUUUUCACUAAUGCAAUAGCGUCCAUAUAUCGUUAGCGCAUAUCUUUAAGACCUCCAAUAAAACUUGUAUGUAAAAAACCUUGUCUGCCUAUGUUGCAUGCCUCUUGCUCACCAUGUCUUAGAACAUCAAGAAUCUCUGCUAAUGCAUCAAUUCGAAAUAAAUCUUGAUUAAAUGAAUAGAAAUCUAACAUUUGAGUCUCAAGCUUGAUGAACUCGUCAACUGAAUAUUGUUAGAAUACUCUUCCAGCAUGUAAAACUCAAUUUUCUUUGUCAUCCCUCAUUUGAAGCUGGUAACAACAAUAUUCACGGUAUGACACAAUAUUUCUUUCUUUUUUUUCUAAAAGUUCUGCUUCUAUGUCAAAUAGCAUGUCAACUAAAUACAUAUUUUGUACAUUUGAUAGCUGUUCAUUUUCACACAGUAAGUUCCUUGGCUAAUAGUAUUAUUUGUUUGAAUAAUCUUUUUAAUAUCACAUUGCCAUCAGUUUUUGUCCAUAAGGAAAUAGUAAUGGAUACCGCAAUGGAUCAUAACAACCAUAGUAAUAAUUUACCAAUUGGCUUUUAUUACUAUGUGUAUAAUUCGAAUAUAUGGUAGAGAAAUAUUAGAACUACUUCCAUCUUCUAACUAUAUUGCUGCUACUUCAGAUGAUAUUGGUAAGUUAUAUGUUCUUUGAUCUAAAUCAAAGUCAGACUUAAGUGCAAUGUAGAAGUUUGAUAAUUGUGGGAUAUCUGUUAAAGAUUUCAAAAAGAUAGAGUAUGGAUUAACUUUUAAUGCGUCCAUCAACGUUCUGAUAACCGAUUCGUUAAGCUUGUCAAAGAAUGAUAUCCGAUUUGCUAGUUCGUUAUCAGUAUCAUAAAAAUACAACUGCAAAUUUUUGGUUGGUUCACUCAAAGGCAGUAGGUCAUUUAUGAAAUGAUACAUUUUCCCUUAAAACUCUAAACGUAUAACUACCACAAUUUAUUCUUGCUAAAUCUCUGUCAUAAUUCACUCCAGGAUAAGUAAAUGUAAAUAUAUCGUUAUACAAUCUAACAUAAGUGCGAAAAUGUUUGGACUUCCUAGAAUUUCCUAAAUAAAGAUUUAGGAGUUGAGUAGAUAGUCCACAGUGAAUCAAUUUUACGAAUUCAUUAUCAUAGCAAAAUCCCGAUGAUUCAUAUUGAAAGCUUAACAAAAUUUACAAUUCUGUACCGUUUUCAGUCUAUAAAGGUUAUUGGGCAAGUCAAUAGUGUUCCACUGACCUAUUUUUCUAGAUCUACGAUCUGUGUUUUUUGGGGUUAACCAAAUGGAAAAAAUAUCAACCUCGAAAAAUAAAUGACUCAAAUUACAUUAAAGCUAUAAGUAACCAAACCUCUAUUUGCAGUUUUAUGCAUAGUAAUAUCAUUUUGUUUCUGCGCAUGUUCCUGAUGUGGACCCUAAGAUAUAAGGAAUUAAGCAUAUAAGUCUGGCUAUUUGGACAUUCUACAAAUUUGAACACCAUACUUCCACACUUACCAACUUAAAAAAUACAGGAGCUAUCACGUACAUCUCUGACAUUAUGAAACCGGAAAAUCCUAAAUUGUGGAGAUAUUUUCAAAGACAAAAAAAGGUAUUAUAAACGGAUUAAAUAUGUAAAUGUUUAAUGUCUCAUAGUUCAAUUAAGGAUAACAAAAUUUUAGUUUGCAAACCUGUUCUCAAAAUAGAAGAUAAGCCUCCUCAUAGAGCAACUGUUUGGUCAGCAAACUCUCCAUUAAACUGAUAAGAAGUUGAUACUUCAGUGGAACUACAGAUCGGCUUCUGCAUUCUAGAAUGAAGAUUUGCUGAUCGUCGCUGCAAUAAGUUCAGUUCUCUUUUAUCAGUUGAUGUCACCCUAUAUAUUUCACAACGUCUUUGUUUUUUUGGUGCAUGUUUCUUCAGAGCAUUGGCGUUUUCCUUUUUCUUGCCAGCAUAUUGAGUCCACAUUAUUACCCAGCCUAGACAUCUUGGUAAUUUGGUCUGUGAAAGUUUCACAUAAAUCAAAUCAAAACUUAUAAAUAAAAUGUAUGCACUAUAUAAAUUUGAACAUCAGCAUGCAUUGCAGAGACGAUACACAGAACAACUAACAAGUUGAUGAGGUAAACAACAACAACAACAACAAUAACAACAACAACACAGUAUAAUUUCACUUAGUGGGGUCUGGGGAGGUUAGUAUGUACGCAGACCUUACCCCUACCCUUAGGUAGAGAGGCUGUUUCCAAAUAAAUCCCUGGCAUCCUUCCCUCCAAGAACUUCCCACCUUGCUCUUGGGGAGACUCGAACUCACAACCUCUCGGUUGAAAGUCGGGGUUGCUUACAAUCAAAGCAACCCCUCUUGUCAAGUUGUUGAGGUAAAGUGUUGGUAAAAUACGAUAAAAUAAAGAAAAUUAGCAGGCAAUAAAAGCUGAAUGUAGAUAUUUUUAUUAGAAGGAGAGUUGAGCAAAUUGUACAACUAAAGAUACAACGGUUAAGGGUCUAAUUUACCAUUCUACUAAUAUAAAUAGGCGUUAUUUAUUCUUCGUUUGAGUUUCUUAUAAAAAAUAUCUCCACGGUUAUACUUUUGGGUUAAAUAUACCCUUCAACCGUUAAAUAUCUCAUACAAGUUUAUAAUGGACAGGUGGCAGCAUGUCAUUGGACUUGAUUAAUUUUUAAAAGUAAUUUUAUCAAAAACUGGAAAACAAUUAUAAAAAUAGAAAAAAUAUUUUUAAUAAAAUAUUUUCGUUUUUUAAAAAAACUAACCAAAAAAAAUAUUUUCGUUUCUGAAUUUAUUUUUAGUUUUUUCAGUUUUUGUAGCAUUUCGUUUUAUUUCGUUUUUUCAAUUUUUUUUAAAAAAAAAUAUUUGUUUUUUUUAAAUGAAGAAAAAACAUUUCGAAAUGCUAUUUGGACUCAAUAAUAAUACGACUAGGCAUUUCGUUUUUUUUGUGAAGAAUUACAAAAAACAAAUUUUGUUGGAAAUACUUUUGUUGAUUUUGGACACGGCACAAAUCUUUUUGUGAAGAAUAAGAAAAAAACUUCAAAAACUGAAAAAUACAAGUCAUUCACACAAGUCAUUCAAAAACUGAAAAAUACAACUUCAAAAACUUUAAAAAAAGAACAAAAAUACUUUUUUUUUUAAAAAACAGAAAAAUUGAAAUAAAAACAAAAUUCUAUAAAAACUGAAAAAAAUAAAAAAAAAUCAAAAACGAAAUAUUUUUUUCAGUUUUUUAACGAACAAAAAUAUUUUAUUAAAAACAUUUUUUCUAUUUUUAUAAUUGUUUUCCAAUUUUUAAUAAAAAUACUUAAAAAAAUUAAUCAGGUCCAAUGACAUAUUGCCACGUGUCCAUUAUGAACUUUUAAGGUAUAUCUAACGAUUGAAGGCUAUAUUUGACCCAAAAGUAUAGCAUCGGGGAUAUUUUUGAUAAGAAACCCAAAGGGAGGAUAAAUAAGGUCUAUUUAUAAUAGUACAAGGAGACAAGAGGGGUUGCUCUGAUGGUAAGCAACCCCCACUUCCAACCGAGAGAUGUGAGUUUGAGUCUCCCCAGGAGCAAGGUGGGAAGUUCUUGGAGGGAAGGAUGCCGGGGGUCUAUUUGGAAACAGCCUCUCUACCCAGGGUAGGGGUAAGGUCUGCGUACAUACUACCCUCCCCAGACUCCACUAAGUGAAAUUAUACUGGGUUGUUGUUGUUGUUAUAAUAGUACAAGGGCAAAUCAGACCAUUAACCGAAGAUACAAAGUAGUGGAGCAAAUGAAUGAAAAAGAUAGGAAGUUGCUAAAUUUUAAUAAAUACAAGUACAUCAAUUUUUAUGCAGUAUGUAAUCUUGUUACGUAAACAACACUUAGGAACCAAAAUUAUCAUCCCAACCGUAGUGCAGAACACAGCCAUUAGGACCAUGAAGACAAAGUCCAUUAUAACUAACAAUCCAAUAGCAAAGUUUAUGUUCAGCACAAAGGGAUAUAUCUCUCUUAUAAUCAAACACUUUAAACUCUUUUGACUUAUUCUCUGCCCCCAUUGCACACCAAAGUAUGUUUUCUUGAUCACUAUGUAUAGGAAGAUAUAUUGUAUAAAUAAAUAUUGACGCACCGAUCGUUCGUUUUCCGAGAUCUUGUUUUCCAUUCCAGUUGCACUGGACUUGUACAGGAUGUGGUAUUGUGUUGCGAAUCUUAACAGUAUAGGAUUCAGCUAUGGAAGGAGAAAAGAUGGAAUAAAACGAGAGCAGAAAGCAAAAGGCCAAGUGAUGGGUAAUUAGGGAAGCCAUCAAUCUUGUUUGUGUGGUAUAAUAUUUCCUUCCUCUGGUCGUUUUUAUAUGUAAAAUUUAACCAAAGCAAAAUGUCCAACAAUUUUAUCAGGUAAAAAAAUCAGUAAGUCAUUAAUAUUUUUUAUCCAUCCUUAAGUAAGAGAUACAGUUAUAAUUAGUUUAGAUUUGAUCCAAUAACUGAGUGAAGUUAAUAUAAUUUUUUUUUUAAAUCGAGUCAAUUACAGUCACGCUUUUAUUCCCAUUUGAAAAAGAGUACAUCAGAAGAAAGAGGUCUUUUGGUCACAAAUUUUUUAAUUGUACUCAACGCAAUGGCCUGAUUGGCUAGAAGAAUGAACAAAUGUAUAUAUAUAUAUAUAUUAAGACCAGUGGUGCUAGCAAAGGCAUUUAUUUUCCUGAUAAACCUCCCUUAACUAGGGCUAUAAAAAUGUACAUUGUAAGAGAGUAUAGUGAGAUAAUAUUAUAGGAGUCAACUCAAAGGUAUACAAGGUCAAAUGUCGUAGACAAUUUAUGGGUUGUAACUGGAUGUUUCGUGUGAUCAAGAAGGAAAUAGGAUUGUAAAAAGUGGGUUAAUAUAUUAGCACCCACAGAUGUAAAAUGGACACAAUCAAUCAGAAUCACUUCAACUUAGAUAUAGACUUGAUUUCGUUUUGUCUUGAUUCUACACUUGGAAGUGUCCAUUAUGUACAAGAUCAAAGAGUAUAUUACAUCAAUCCACCAGUAAUAAAGUUGUACUAUAACCAAAAUAAAGGAAUAUCUCGGGCGAAAACGUGCAUUUGAAAUUAUUUAUGGUUACUGUGAUAAGUCAUUUCAUCUCUACCCAGGUACAUGGCCGCACUGAAAUUCUAUAACCUGGGCCUGUUGUUGAGUGGAGGCAUGAGCAAACUCCAGGAAUACCGAAAUAUAAUUUCAACUAUGUGUUGUCAUUUAAACCAGCAAUUGAUGAUUUUUGUACUGCGUCCAGUAAUUUUCAUAGAUGGUACUCAUAUCUAUGGAAAGUAUGAUAUUUAAGCUUUUGAUCGCAGUUACAAUAGAUGCCAAUGGAUAAAUAUUUCCACUAGCUUUUACCAUUUGUGCCAAUGAAGUGAAAAGACGUGGACGUGUUUUUGGAACCACUUGACGCAGUAUGUUGUUAAACAGCGUUCAAGUAUUUGUAUAAUGUAUUAUCUGCAUAGUGGUAUUUAAAGUUUUGUAUGAUAUUUUCCUAAAUGGUAGGAACCCUAUGCAUACCAUCGCUACAGUGUGAGGCACCUGAAGGCCAAUUUUCAGAAGAAAUAUCCCGACAAGGCCUUGCAUGAUUUAAUAUGGAUGGCUGCAAUUGAGCACCAGCAGUCCUAAUUCAGGAGGCGCAUAGAAGCGAUCCAGCAGUUAGACGAAGUAGCAUAUAAUUGGCUGAUGAGACAUGAGCUUCACAAGUGGACAAUUGCAUCCUGAUGGUAUAAGACAAUGGGGAGCCUUAGCUACAAAUGUGUCAGAGUCAUUCAACGGCUUAUUGAGGCUUGCACGUGAAUUGCCUGUCAUUGACAUGGUUUGGAUGACAUUCAAACAGAUUGCGGAGAGGUUUGUUGAAAGGCAUAGAGCUGCAUCGGAAUUGAUAGACAGGGUUGUUCAAUUUAUGCCAAUACCAAUGAGAAGAUUUGAGAAAUAAUAGGAGGCAAGCACAUUGGCAUUCAUAUUUACAAUAUGAUCACGUCUGGGGUGUUUUUCAAGUUCGCACUGCUAUUCGCGGACAACAGGGGAAUAUUCUACAAAUCAUCAAUGAAGCCAGCAAGUUGUGUUCAUGUGAGAAUGGACCAUCAACCAUAUGGUGUGCGCACAUGCCAUGAAAUGCUUUAAAAAAGUUAGCUUAGGAGCAACGAACUAUGUUGAUAGGCAAUAUAGUAUUGCUACACACUUAAACACAUAUAGUGGGCAGUAGCAGCCAUUGGACGUUGUACAUUAUUGGCCGCCGAAACCAUUUAAAAUGCUAUAUAACAAGGGCUAUUUGCACAAGCUUCAAGUGCAGAAGAGAAUGCAUAUACGGAACCAAAUGGAUGUUGACGAUACCAUUUAUGCACAUAAAUUAUCACAUGCUCGCAAAUAGGACAUGACCGUCGUAAAUGUCUUUCAGUAGGUAUGGGUGGCGGUGGUAAUCCAGCUCUGGUGCAAGUUUGUCUAAUGUACCCAACUAUCAAGGAUACACCUAGUGUUUUAUUUUCGUAAUAUAUUUUAAAGUAAGUGCAUGUACUUGUUUAUGUUGCAAUAUCUAUCAAAUAAAAUUAUGUUCCACAGUCUUAUUACAUCUUAUUAUCUAACAUGGCCUUUUGAAUUGAGAUGAUGAUACGAUAGUUCUAACAUUUAAUUUAUUGGUGUUAGUAAAGAAGACUAAUAUGAAGAUAGAAAUUUCAUAACAUAAUACUUGAAGAGAAAAAAGAAAAACUACCAUAACAAAAGUAAUAUACAUGAAAGUAAAAGAUAAUAAAAGGAUAAAUUAAGAAAAUUUGUUACGUUUUAGAAAAAUGAAUGUGCAUAGUGUGGUUAAAUACUAUAUUUUGUGUAUUGUCUUGUCGGUCUGAAAAGCUAACCGACUACGAAUAAGUUGUUUUGUUUCAAAAAAAGUCAAUUUGUAUAGCGCGGUUAAAUACUACAUUUUAUGUGUUGUCUUGUCGGUCUAAAAAGCUGACUAACAGCGAAUAAUUUAUUUUGUUUCAAAAAAAUCAAUAUGUAUAGUGCGGUUAAAUACUACGUUUUGUAUGUUGCCUUGUCGGUCUGAAAAGUUGACCGACUACGAAAAAUGCUAUUUCGUUUCAGAAAAAGUAAAUAUGUGUAGUGCGAUUAAAUACUAUAUUUUGUGUAUUAUCUUAUUGGUUUGAAAAGUUGACUGACUACAAAAAAGCUAUUUUGUUUCAGAAAUAUUAAUAUGUAUAGCGCGGUUAAAUACUACGUUCGUUUCAGAAAAAAGUCAAUGUGUAUAACGCGGUUAAAUACUACGUUUUGUGUAUUGUCUUGCCAAUAAAUAACAGGCGCAUUCUAGUUAUUUUUUGCACUUAACAAUAACCAAUGGCAAAUAUUUCCACAAAAGAAAGGUUUUUUUACGCUUUAACAAAUGUAUGAACCCCUUUUAUGUGCCAAGGUACGCGAGUGAAAAAAGUACAUGAUGCAAGAUUGUUGGGAUGAUGGUGAAGCUGGACACCAUUAUUUGGUGUGUAUGAACAUGCUUUAUAGGGUUCCCGACGAAACUAUUUGCAAUUUUGAGGAAUGGAUUGAUGAACCUUGCCAGCAGGAAUACUACAAAGAAAAGUUGCAACAUCUUUAUUAUUUGUGUUUGAAACAGUAGGAAAGAGAGCAACAAUCCAAACGAGAAGUUGCGGAGUUGAAGGAGAAAUUAAAAUAGGUGGAAGAAGAAAAAAUAAGCUAGAAGAAAUAAUUAAGUGGUUGGAGAAGAAAAUACUAGGUGAUGAUGACUAAACAAUAAUAUGUACGUAUUGAGCAUAGUAUUAUAUCUUUAUAUUUCCCGGGUCAUGAGUUUUCAUUAGUUAUACGUAUAAGUUAUGUUAAUUUUCUAUGUUUGUGAUUAUGUUGUACUAUUAAAAUAAAGAAGAAAUAUGGUAAUAAAAAUAUAACUCUCAUAUUAUGUAAGCAUAAAAAUUUGUUGUUAUUAUUAACAUAAUUUUUUAUUUACAUAAAAUACAAAAAGAGAAAAUCAAUGAGUCUCACAGCCUUUGUGCUUCAAUGUAGCCAUAUGCCUGAGGCGCAUCCCCUCCUGCCUGAAUAUACUAUCAGGAUCAUCCUCAUCAAGUCGCCACUUUAUAUGAGGAUGUGUUGCAGCGUGAUCGUCAGUUGGGCUAGCAGGGGCGGUAGAAGGGGCCGCCGAUCCAUCAGCAACCUACAAAAUAAUAAAUAAGAUCAGUAUAUGAAUAUGUAUAUUAGCAAUGUACGUGUUAAGUCAAAAACAUUUGUUAACAUGGUCUCGUCGAGCUCAUGGAAAUAAGCCUCCAUGGUGUCCUCAGCAUCGCACAAAGUGGCCUCCAUGAUGGGCUGGGAUGAAGCCUUAAUAAGAAAAUUAAAAAUUAAUUUUUGGCAAUAUAAAUUGGAAAAAAAUAAAUUAAAAUUUAAUAGUAAUACAAACAUACAUGUGCAUGUGAUAGAUCCGCCACACACGGCAACGAUGAGCCAAAACUCAACUUGUGCUCAUCAUCCACGUCUCGGAUCGGUCGAGCUUUAGCUGUGGUCGAUGGGCCUAAAAAGAACAACUCCUAACCUCUGGUGAGGCUCGUGCCCCUAAUCAAUAAUUGAUGUGACGAGUUCACCUGCGAUGCUGGCAACGCCAGCUGAAGGCUGUAUGACAACAUGCUACUGGGAUGCUCGUCUAGCUGAGGAAUUUCACCCGGCAGAUUAGCUCUAACCUCUUCAUCGGGUGCCUCAAUGCCCCCUUGCAGGGACUACCUCCUCGCCGGCCCCCAGGACCCCAUAGGGCACCCCUGCUUCGUGGGGCACCCCCACAUAGUAGGAAAGCCCUGCCUCGUCCUCGUCCCCAUCCCCUCGGGCGUGUGAAGGUAUUCCCCAAUGGUAGUGCUCUUGAGUCACAUAAUCAGGUCGUGAUCUAAGCGCUCCCCUCUUUGGUUGUUGCAGUGUCCGGAGAGCCACCUCUGUCACCUGCCAGCCAUAAUCAACGACCGUGUGAUCGCCGGCAUGCUACUGCAUCUGCAGUCCCAACUGGUAGAAUAAAUGAUGACUAAUAGCCUGCACAACAUUUAAAAUAUUAAUUACAGAACGCUAUAUCAUAGUUAUAAGUAAGAAUACAAAUAACAUGCCAGUGCAUCGUGGCUCCCGGCGUAUGGUCUGUACCGACCGCUAGCUUGAUAAAUUGAGUUCCCGAUAAAAAGGGGAGUAACGCGGCGGUACUAGGACGUAUAAAUCUGAAUAGUUGCUGCCAAGAUCUGUGAAGGUGAGGGAGAAAUCAGGUUAGCUCGUUGGUCACAAGCAUGGACCCGCGCCUCUAUCUAGGCUACAAAUGCACCGUCCACCCUCGAAUGAUUAUCCCACUGAUAAUGUGUAGCCUCCCAUGUAGGCCCCCAUAGUAUAGUCUGCAGACGGCCAAACUAGCGAAGUACCCAAACUGUGGCGUGAUACUUCACGAUAUCGAUGCACAUCAGCGGGACGGAAGUGCUCCAAAUUAGUCGGUCGGCUGAGCAAUAAUCACGCUGACCACCUAUCACAUCGUCGUUGUAUACGUCUAGAUGAACUAUCAAAUAAGAACAUAAAAUGGGUAUGCGCAACUAAAGUGAAUCUAUACCAAGUAAGUUUAGGUACACAUUUACCUAUGCGCCCUUCAGCAUAUCCAACACAUGCCUGAUAAGGGGGAGAUUAUGAUGAGCAUCACAAACUCGGCAAUUUCCAUGUUGGAGAACCCACCUCCUAGAUAGAGGGAGGAAUAGAGGUGGUACAUUCAGAGGUAACGGUCGUAGAGGUUUCUGAAACACCAGGAAUCGCUCCCAGGCCCAAACCUAACAUACAAAGUUGACGUAAAGUGUAAGAUAAAUUUUGACUAGAUUGAAUUGGUAGUAAUGAACAUAGUAUUCGAAUAUGUUGUCACAUGUAGAAGCGGUAGAAAACCACAUAUAUCGCUCUGGGUGCCCAUGCUCUCCCAACACAGCUGCCGGUAUACGUAAGCGAGAAUAGCAGCACCCCAGUUGUACUGGGGUAAAGUAUCUAGCAGAUGAAGAUGACGUAGAAAUCAAAAAUUCACUAGAUUUCCGGAAGUAUUCAGGAGCAAGACACCCCCCCCCCCCCCNNNNNNNNNNNNNNNNNNNNNNNNNNNNNNNNNNNNNNNNNNNNNNNNNNNNNNNNNNNNNNNNNNNNNNNNNNNNNNNNNNNNNNNNNNNNNNNNNNNNNNNNNNNNNNNNNNNNNNNNNNNNNNNNNNNNNNNNNNNNNNNNNNNNNNNNNNNNNNNNNNNNNNNNNNNNNNNNNNNNNNNNNNNNNNNNNNNNNNNNNNNNNNNNNNNNNNNNNNNNNNNNNNNNNNNNNNNNNNNNNNNNNNNNNNNNNNNCCCCCCCCCCCCCCAAAGGAAGGAGCAGCAGAAACCUAGUAUACCGGUGAUAUGUAAAUCAUUUCUAUCACCGAUGAUGUUAGGGUAAAUACUCCAAAUAUUAUCUAAUAGUUGUAAAACCUAUGCAACUGGGCCUUUGACAUACAGUCUCAUCCUGUAGCCUGAAACAAGUGAGAUGUUGCAAAAAGUCCAAAUACUGGCCACGUGGCAUAGAUCUCAUUCCCUAAGGUAGUGUAAGAGACAGUCUAUCAGCAUGCACCGCAUAUAAAACCUCAACAUCCUGCUACGUGAUGGUGGCCUCUCUAAUGGGUAGGUUGAAAGUGUGUGUCUCUGAUUGCCACCGCUCUAUUAAGGUUGUAAUCAGAGACCAGUCGAGCUGCAGCUGCCCAAUCUCAAAAAUUCCAUAGAAGCUCGUAUCUCGUAGGCACUGGAAUAUAGGGGCAUGGAAAACUUUGCCCCUCAUAAAGUCCCACAAUUCGUCCACUCUCCUAGCACAGAGAGUCCGGGGAAGUAGCUCUCCAUCCCAUAGGUACGAGGACCUAUGAUUGCCCUGUAACACUAAUAGCUCAUCGGAGACAGGUCUGGGAUGCACAUGCGGCACGUCCAUGUCAUCUACUGUAAAUAAAAUAAUAUUAAAUGGAUAGCUAGAAGCGUAAUAGCUCAUCGGAGACAGGUCUGGGAUGCACAUGCGGCACGUCCAUGUCAUCUACUGUAAAUAAAAUAAUAUUAAAUGGAUAGCGUAUAUAUCUAUGGGUUCCAGUUUCGAUAUUUGAGGCUCAGUAGCACCAAGCUUUCCUGAAUUCUUAUGUGUGUCAAUUUCAAUAUUUUUAUAAUUUUGUGGGUUUGUUUUUAAAAUUAAAUAGGUAAUCUUUAAUUGGAUAGCAUAUAUAUAUAUAUAUAUACAUAUAUAGAUAUAUAUAUAUAUAUAUACAUAUAUAUAUAUAAUAGCACCAAGCUUUUUUGAAAUCUUAUAUAUGUCAAUUUCAAUAUUUAUAUAAUUUUGUGUGUUUGUUUUGCAAUUAAAUGAUUGAUUUUAGUUACUAAAUUGGACAGAGUAUGUAUCUAUUGGUUCCAAGCUCCAAUUAUUUUUGUUGUUGUUUGUCUUUUUUUUUUUGUCAAAGAGAAAAUUUGUAUUUCAACCAGUAUUAAUGUACAUCAAUUGUUCUUUGGGACUAUAGAACAAAUCUUAAAAUUUGAUCAACUAGCUACUCUACAACCAUUGUUGUUUAACUAACUCCUAACAUACAAAAAUGUAGAUAUAGUCAAGGAAUACAUUGAGGGUAGCAAUUUAUGUUCUGUAGGGUAGGCUGCCAUUUAGGCUUCUUUAGUCCAGUGAUGUGCAAUACAUUGAGGGUAGCAAUUUAUGUUCUGCAGGGUAGGCUGCCAUUUUGGCUUCUUAGGUCCAGUGAUGUGCACUUGGAUUACGAUCUGUCGUACUCUGUCUGUAGCUUCUUUGCUCGACUGUCGAAAUCUUCUUUCAUUCUUUUCCAUCCAAAUAUUGUAUACAACUGCUGCAAACACCACUCAUAGAAUGGUUUUCUUUGGCUUUCUGUUGUUUACUCUAGCAGAAACUCAUUGCACCUCUAGCUCCCAGUUGUUUAUCAAUCAGUUGAAGUUCAGCCACUUUAACAAUCCUUGCCACAGUUUUUGGGAAUAAGAACAUUCAAAGAACAGGUGAUCGUGUGUCUCUACAAUGUCACUCCCACACAAUGUACAUGACUGAUC